UACGUAGGGUGCAAGCGUUAUCCGGAAUUAUUGGGCGUAAAGAGCUCGUAGGUGGUUUGUUAAGUUGAAUGUGAAAGCCCGGAGCUCAACUCCGGAAUGGCAUUGGAAACUGGUUAACUUGAGUGUUGUAGAGGUAAGUGGAACUCCAUGUGUAGCGGUGGAAUGCGUAGAUAUAUGGAAGAACACCAGUGGCGAAGGCGGCUUACUGGACAACAACUGACGUUGAGGCUCGAAAGUGUGGGUAGCAAAC
rnacentral:rRNA from 1 species